UCUGAAAAACCGGUUUCCGUACGGUCACCGAAAUUAAGCAACGUUGAGCCUGCCCAGCAGCAUGAUGGGUAACCGCUCGGGAAUACCAGAUGUUGUAGG